AACCAUGAUGGGGACAUAAGCUAAGUAACUCUUUAAAAUGUUCACAUGCUUCAUACAAAUCUCACUAUCCUUUUGUGUAAAAGUUAAGAUUUGCCUUUUCAAAGCAU